rnacentral:lncRNA from 1 species
UUUCCUGUAUUGAAUGAAUUGUGGAACUGAUUGUUGAAAGGGCGCAGAAAGACUCGCCCAAUUCAAUAAGUUUGAAUUUCUUAGUGUGUAGAUUUCCUCAUUAUAACGGAUGAGAGCUGUUAUUGUGCAUAAGGAUUUGUUUGGAGUCGGCUGAGACCAGCUGUAUAACCAUUGCCCGUCCUCCCAAGUACGCAACGGGUUGAUGUGUUUCUGUUUCACAAUUACCCAUCCACGAAGGUGAUCAUUAACGAAGUGUGUUUGCGCUGAGAUUUGAUUCUAGUUCUUAUUAUUUAGUCCCUGUGUUAGAUAAAAUAAAGAGGAUGCUUUUCCAGAUUGGUU